CGGGCGCACGACGGAUGCCUUGGCAUCACGAGGCGAAGAAGGACGCGGCAGACUGCGAAAAGCUCCGGGGAGCCGUCAACAGGCUUUGAUCCGGAGGUCUCCGAAUGGGGCAACCCGCCAUGGCGAGAGCCAUGGCGCCCCGGGACGAAUUCGAUAGUCCCGGAGGAGCUACACCGGGGGAAGUGAAACAUCUCAGUACCCCGAGGAAAGGAAAGCAAACGCGAAUGCGCGAGUAGUGGCGAGCGAAAGCGCACCAGGCCAAACCGGACGGCUUGCCGUCCGGGGUUGCGGGACCGGGACAUGGCACCGGGCAGGCUAGGCGAACGGACUGGAAGGUCCGGCCGCAGCGGGUGAAAGCCCCUUAGCCGAAAGCCCAGCCUGGGCCUACCGGGAUCCCAAGUAGGACGGGACACGUGAAACCCCGUCCGAAUCCGGGGGGACCACCCUCCAAGCCUAAUCACUCCGUGAUGACCGAUAGCGAACAAGUACCGUGAGGGAAAGGCGAAAAGAACCCCGGAAGGGGAGUGAAACAGACCUGAAAUCGUGCGUCCACAAGCUGUGGGAGCGUCGUUCGCGACGCGACCGCUUGCCUUUUGCAUAAUGAGUCCGCGAGUCAAUCCGACUGGCAAGGCUAACCGGAAGGGGAGCCGAAGCGAAAGCGAGUCCGAACAGGGCGUCCCGAGUCGGCCGGAUUGGACCCGAAGCCCGUGCGAGCUACCCAUGGCCAGGGUGAAGCCCCCGUAACAGGGGGUGGAGGCCCGAAUCCGUGACCGUUGAAAAGGUCUGGAACGAGCUGUGGGUGGGAGCGAAAGACUUAUCAAGCCGGGUGAUAGCUGGUUCUCUCCGAAAUGCCUUUAGGGGCAGCGUCUGGCAAUGCAACCUCCGGAUGUAGAGCACUGAUCGAUCUAGGGUCCCUACCGGGAUACCGAAGUCCGUCAAACUCCGAAGGCCGGUGGCGCCAGCCAGGCAGUGAGACAGUGGGGGCUAAGCUCCAUUGUCGAAAGGGAAACAGCCCAGGACCGCCGAAUAAGGCCCCAAAGCGGCGCUCAGUCACUAAGGCAGUGAGGCUUCUCAGACAGGUGGGAUGUUGGCUUAGAGGCAGCCAUCAUUUAAACAGUGCGUAACAGCUGACCACUCGAGAGGCCCCGCGCCGAAAAUGAUCGGGAGUAAGCGCCGCGCCGAAUUCGCGGGACGCGCUCGUGCGCGUCGGUAGGAGAGCGCAGUGGAACGGGUUGAAGCCGCGCGCGGAAGCGGCGGUGGACUUUCCACUGGCGAUUAUGCGGACAUGAGUAACGAAAAACCUGGUGAGAAUCCAGGUCGCCGGAAUCCCAAGGUUUCCCGGGGCAGGUUCGUCCGCCCGGGGUCAGUCGGCACCUAAGGCCAGGCCGAAAGGCGUAGCCGAUGGACGGCAGGUCAACAUUCCUGCACUGGCACGGAGGGUCCAUGCGCGACGUCGGAGAAGGACAGUGGCGGGGGUCAAUGGCUAUCCCCUGCACGGCCGGGAACGGCCGGGCCGAGCGGAGGCUUGCCUCUGCAAGGCCAUGCGUCCACGCUUCCCAGAAAAGCGUCGCGACACCGAAAUGCCAGCCGUACCAAAACCGACACAGGUGGGAGGGUACAAGAAUACCAAGGCGCGCGGGAGAAACCUCGUUAAGGAACUCGGCAACAUGACCCCGUAACUUCGGGAGAAGGGGUCCUCCGGGGCAAUGCCCGGAGGCGCAGCGAAACGGCCCAUGCGACUGUUUAACAAAAACACAGCACUGUGCAAACCCGCAAGGGGACGUAUACAGUGUGACACGUGACCAAUGCGGAAAGGUCAAGGCGAGGAGUCAGCCGCAAGGCGAAGCCCCGAACCAAAGCCCCCGUGAAUGUCGGCCGUAACUAUAACGGUCCUAAGGUAGCGAAAUUCCUUGUCGGGCAAGUUCCGACCUGCACGAAUCGUGUAACGAUAUGGGCGCUGUCUCAACGAGGAUCCCGGUGAAGUUGUAGUGCCGGUGAAAAUGCCGGAUACCCGCAGAAGGACGGAAAGACCCCAUGAACCUUCACUGUAGCCUGGUACUGGGCUCUGGUCGAUCGUAUGUAGAAUAGCCGGGAGGCUCGGAAGCCGCUUCGUCAGGAGCGGUGGAGCCGAAAAGUGAAAUACCGGUUUCGGCCGGGCGGAGUCCUAACCGCGUCCCGUCAUCCGGGCGCGGGACAAUGCCAGGGGGUCAGUUUGACUGGGGCGGUUUCCUCCCAAACGGUAACGGAGGAGUUCGAAGGUCCGCUCAGCGCGGUCGGCAACCGCGCGUCGAGCGCAAUGGUAGAAGCGGGCCUCACUGCGACACCGACAGGUGGAGCAGACGCGAAAGCGGGACAUAGUGAUCCGGCGGUCCCUUGUGGAAGGGCCGUCGCUCAACGGAUAAAAGGUACUCUGGGGAUAACAGGCUGAUCGCGGCCGAGAGUUCACAUCGACGCCGCGGUUUGGCACCUCGAUGUCGGCUCUUCGCAUCCUGGGGCUGGAGAAGGUCCCAAGGGUUUGGCUGUUCGCCAAUUAAAGCAGCACGCGAGCUGGGUUCAGAACGUCGUGAGACAGUUCGGUCCCUAUCCAUCGUGGGCGAAUGAAUCAU
rnacentral:rRNA from 1 species